rnacentral:rRNA from 1 species
UGGGGAAUAUUGAGGACAAUCGGGGGCAACCCUGAUCCAGCCAUGCCGCGUGAGUGAUGAAGGCCUUCGGGUUGUAAAGCUCUUUUGGCGGGGACGAUGAUGACGGUACCCGCAGAAUAAGCCCCGGCUAACUUCGUGCCAGCAGCCGCGGUAAGACGAAGGGGGCUAGCGUUGUUCGGAAUUACUGGGCGUAAAGCGAGUGUAGGCGGUUGCCGUAGUCAGGUGUGAAAGCCUUGAGCUCAACUCAAGAAAUGCACUUGAUACUGGGUGACUAGAGGACCGGAGAGGAUAGUGGAAUUCCCAGUGUAGUGGUGAAAUACGUAGAGAUUGGGAAGAACACCAGUGGCGAAGGCGGCUAUCUGGACGGUUACUGACGCUAAGACUCGAAAGCGUGGGGAGCAAACAGGAUUAGAUACCCUGGUAGUCCACGCCGUAAACGAUGGGUGCUAGACGUUGGCGAGCUUGCUCGUCAGUGUCGCAGCUAACG